CGGGUGAGUAACGCGUGAGGAACCUGCCUCAAAGAGGGGGACAACAGUUGGAAACGACUGCUAAUACCGCAUAAGCCCACAGGUCGGCAUCGACCAGAGGGAAAAGGAGCAAUCCGCUUUGAGAUGGCCUCGCGUCCGAUUAGCUAGUUGGUGAGGUAACGGCCCACCAAGGCAACGAUCGGUAGCCGGACUGAGAGGUUGAGCGGCCACAUUGGGACUGAGACACGGCCCAG
rnacentral:rRNA from 1 species